GCUGUAAACUAGCUUUAUUUAUAUACAUAUAACAAUUUAGUAUUUAGGCAUGUGCGAGCGACAAUUAUCCAAUCAGAAUCCAAUAUUUUCAUUUUCCCGCGAAUACGUUUGUUUUGAUUACAUCAUUCAUGAUAGAUACUAUGACAUCAUAACUGAGACCCAGGUCAUUGCGCGGAAUUCAAGAUGGCGUCGGGCAAAUGUGCAUUCCUCGAUUUAGCCGCUAGUAUAAAAUAGAAGCGUAAAACCUCGUUUGUUGCAGUAUAUUCUGGACAAAUAAACAAUUUAUUAGGAAAAUACGUUCAAGAAACGUCUCGUGCUGUACUAGCCUAAUUCUGGCAAAUGUUAUUUACUUUCUUCACCUUCGUGUCGACGACUGUUGUUUGCUGAUGGCCAAAUCACGACAGUGGUCAGUGGAUAUCAAUUAUUCAAAAUAUGUUCUUAUAGCUUCAUGUUUACGAUACGAAACACGUUUUAAUGUAAGAUUAUUUAUUUUUUUUAUAUGUAGGUUCUAGUUGAAAGUGACAGCGACGAUGAAAAAAGUGCACACAACAAUGAAAUAUCCAGUUCACUACUAGCUCGAAUCCUGCGACAUAUCACUUGCUAGUAGCCCAGUCUAGUUUAACUUUGCCCAAUGAAGAAUCAUCUCCUGAAUCAGGCAUACUGGCAACACUGGUUCAUUUGAUAAUGUAAGUUUUUAAACUGGUAUUUUAGAUUAUGGCCUCGGUCAAAUGAGGAUGAAAGUCAUGCAUGAAUUGCUUAUAAAUACACAAAGGACAUUUCAAGUUCCACAUGAACAAAAUAUUAUUAAAGCUUUGAUGAGUGUUCCAACUAUGUUUCAACUUAAUUAAAAUACUCUCAUCCUCGCUUGAUCCAUAAUUAUUUGUUGAUUUUACUCGAUACUAAAUAGUGAAACAUCGAAUCCAGAUAAAAUCUUAUGCAGAACCCACUGUAAUUCCGAGCUGUAAUCACAUAAUUAUAUAAAAGUCGUUUCAGUAGCAGCAAAAGCCAAACUAAACACCAACUAGGAUUAAUAGGUUUAGCUUUUAGGCCGAGAAUAAUACACGAUUGACAAUUUUGUGGCUGAUUGAUUUAAUAGUAUACUGUAUAUUGAUCUGGUUGCUGUAUACAGGACAUCUGACUUACAUGUCAAAUUAAUAGUCAAAUCUAUGAUUAUAUUGAGCAUGGCAGAUUUGACAUUUGAAACAUUGUUGAUGUUAAUAACCCAAUGAGUCGCAUUGCGCCCUGAUGCGCACUAAGUAUUUAUUGUUUUACUCUGGUUAUCUAACGCUAGGCAAUUUUACUCAUCAAGGGGAGAGCACUGGCGGUUAAUGUGUUAACUAGCCUAUCUGCCCAUGUUUACAGUUAACCCAUUGAGUCGCAUUGUGCCCUAAUGCGGCCUAAUUUAUUAUUUUACUCUGCCUAUCGCAGGACAAUUUUACUCAUUAAGGCAGAGCGCUGGCACUUAAUGUGUUAACUGGCCUAUCUGCCCAUGUGUCUAGUUAACCCAUUGAGUCGCAUUGCGCCCUAAUUUAUUAUUUUACUCUUUCUAACGCCAGAUAAUUUCACUCAUUAAGGGGAGAGCACUGGUACUUAAUGGGUUAACUGGCCUAUCUGCCCAUGUGUGUAAUUGUUAACACAUUGAGUCGCAUUGUGCCCUAAUUUAUUAUUUUACUCUGUCUAACACCAGGGGCCGGUUGUAUAAAAAGGUGAUUAAAGUUAACUAUAGUUAGUGGAAACGUCAUCCAAUAAGAAGCGCGUAUUUGAGAGUUAAUCACUAUUUAACUACAAAAUAGUGAUUAAAAAGUGAUUAAGAGUUUUAUACAACCGGCCCCAGAUGAUUUUACUCGUCAAGGUAAGGGCGCUGGUGCUUAAUUUUAAUGGGUUAACUGGCCUAUUUGCCCAUGUUUAUAGUUCACCCAUUGAGUUGCAUUGCAGCCUACUUUAUUUUUUUUACUCUGUCUCGAGAGGAGAAUGCUGGUGGUGAAUCCCCAUUAACCACCAGCAUUCUCCUUAAUAUUGAAAAUAUAGAUCAACAUUUGUCAAAACUCAUGACUUGUGCAAUCAUUUCUCUAAUAAUUAAGAUAUUAAAAUACCAAAUAUAAUGCCUUAUGGCUUAUUUUAAAUAGGGAGAUGCUAUGUGACUAUGUCCAUUGAAACUUAGUGGAUUUGUUGUAGCUACAUCAAAUAAAUGCUAGCCAAAAACAUAUUCAAGUCAAUCGAAGAGAAUGUAGAAUUGCACUUUACAUAAAAUUCCCUAGUUAUUGUACAUUAAUGAAAAGCAUUUGAAAUGGAAAUAUAUUGUUUUAAUUUUAUUUCUAUGGUUUGUACUAUGAUAUACAUGGGCUAUACACUCUUUGGGAACCCGCAGGGCUGUUGGCAGAGCAUUUCCAUGAUCUGGAACUUCAGUCCUAAACACGAUGUGUGGGUGCGAAGGUGUUGUGUAGGAACAGAACUGUACAGAUUAGAAAUAUGAUUACUGAUAUGUUCCAAAGAAAAACUAUUAAUAUAUAGAAGAGGAAAGAAAGAGGCAAUAAAUAGCCCAAAGUAUCUGUUGUACAUUUGAAAUUUUAAAAUGGUAGGCUUAUUAAGCAUGAGAUACAGAGAAAAACAGUAAUGCAGAACUACAUUCUCUUAAAUUGUCAAAAUUAAACGCUACCAGUCUUGGUUUCGUUUCAAACUUGAAUAACGAAAAGUCUAAAAAUAUAGAAACUAUAAGAACAGAUCAGCUAAGUCCAGUUAUAAAAUUAAAUGAUGAAGGAAAGUUGUCAUUUUAGGAAAGUAUUGUUUUGGGGUGUGUGAACUCAUGAGGUUACAUGUUUCUGGUGAAUCUGCUUGCUGCAGCAAAAAUUUAUUAAUCAUUUGUGACAUAAUUCACAAGAUGUCUAUUUUAACCUGUGGGUUGCCAAACUUCUUAAAUAUGGAAUUUGUUUUGUCUGACCAAGAUAUAAUGAAUACCACUAGUGACAUGAGUAUGUCCAAUUAAUAUUUAACUAGAAAUAAAUGCAUGCAGCAACCCCUAGCCUAUAUUUUUCAAACAUUGAUUUAACAUGAACUAUUAGCAAUUGGCCAGCACUGAACACAGGCUCACGUUGUGUCAAGUGUUGUCAAGGCAACAUAAUGUCACAUUAUAUUUUAAAUUUUUUUGAGUAAUUUUGCAAGACAGUGUUCAUACCACAGAAUUUACCAUACAUAAUUUUAAACUAAUAGAUAGGUGAAGUAAUUCAAACAAAAUGAUUUUGAACUUUAUUACUCUACUCUGUCGAACGCCUAUUCUACUCGUAAAGGGGAGAGCCCUGGUGCUUAAUGGGUUAAAUAAGAUUGUAUAGUUAUAUGUAUAUCAUGUAUUAUGUUUUACCAGGCUAUGGAAAUUCAUGUUUCCAAUUUUGUAUUUAUUUUUCUUAUGAUACAGUAUACUGUAAAUUUGAAUAAUAUUUGUGUGCUUAUAGUGAGCAUAUUUUUAGGAGAGUUUGUUGCGAGGCAGCAUAUAUUUUGAUAUUUCAAAAUAUUACUGUAUAUUGGUAUGUUAUAUUUAAUGCUUUUGGAAGGGUUAUAGGGGUCGGGUGUGAUAUACUUUUUCAGGUAUUUUGUGUCUGAUGUAUGUAAGAGCUUUAUUAUUGGGUUUCUUGGUGAGACCUUAUAUCUUAUGUGUCCUAUAACCCUCUGUAAUUGCGGAUUAUUGCAUACAUUCUAAUUGUAUUUUUUUUGUAGGAGUCCAAAGAUGCAAAUGAUACAAUUUCAAACUUAUCACAACCCAUAUUGUGGCCGCUGGCAGCGAACUAGAAUACGACUAGAAACUGUCAAUCAUACGUUAUCGAGGGAAAGGAUUAAAGUUCCAUAACAAGCAACAGUUGUUUUGAUGCAAUUAUCGCCUUAUUGGCAAGUUUUUACAUCUUCAAUAUUGAGUACUGCCACACGAAGAGCAUCUUGUCUGCCUUGCAGACUAUAGUAGUGCAUGGCCAACACAGAAAAUGGCAUACAACUGCCAAUAGUGAGUUUAAGCAAGUGACGUUUUUGACAACACGGACGUCGACCGGAGGUAAAGUUGACGUUGCUCAUGCCGUCAGUGUUGUCAAAAACGUCACUUGCUUAAGCUCACUAAUGAGGGUCACAGCCCUCUUCAAUGACUUGUCAUGACUCAUGAAUAUUAGUACUACAGUAAUUUUACACUUUUUGAGAGUUAUGUUGACAUAUAUUAACCCAAGUUAAUGUUAUUGAUGGAAUGUGUGUAUUGUCUCACAUCUCACCGAACUGUGGUAAUGUAUUAGAAAUUAUUCGUAUUGCGUUAUGUUAACAACCGCGCCUGCUAUUGCUAUCACAAGUUGAUUGCUCUUUAAAAUUAGAAUUGUAAACUUUCGGAGCCAUAUGGCAUAUAUGUACGAAUCUUUUGAUGGUUCCCACAUUUCGGUGAGAUACAUAAUACUGACUACUGUGCAUGUAUAUUGUAAUUUUAGUUAUAGUAUUGUGUUUAUAAUACAGAAAUUGGAACAUUAUUUAUCUCAACUUAUAUUACAAUAAUUAAUUCCAAUCUUGGUCUGUUGGAGAAAUUGUAAUAAGACCAAAUAAACCCCAUUAUUUUUGCCUGAUUCAUUAUAUACAUGUAGAAUACGUCUACAUGCAAGAGUGCAACCAAAUCAUGCACAUGACUUUAAAUGCUAUAUAAAAC